rnacentral:rRNA from 1 species
GGCGUGCUUAACACAUGCAAGUCGAACGGAAAGGCCCUGCUUUUGUGGGGUGCUCGAGUGGCGAACGGGUGAGUAACACGUGAGUAACCUGCCCUUGACUUUGGGAUAACUUCAGGAAACUGGGGCUAAUACCGGAUAGGAGCUCCUGCUGCAUGGUGGGGGUUGGAAAGUUUCGGCGGUUGGGGAUGGACUCGCGGCUUAUCAGCUUGUUGGUGGGGUAGUGGCUUACCAAGGCUUUGACGGGUAGCCGGCCUGAGAGGGUGACCGGCCACAUUGGGACUGAGAUACGGCCCAGACUCCUACGGGAGGCAGCAGUGGGGAAUAUUGCACAAUGGGCGGAAGCCUGAUGCAGCAACGCCGCGUGCGGGAUGACGGCCUUCGGGUUGUAAACCGCUUUCGCCUGUGACGAAGCGUGAGUGACGGUAAUGGGUAAAGAAGCACCGGCUAACUACGUGCCAGCAGCCGCGGUGAUACGUAGGGUGCGAGCGUUGUCCGGAUUUAUUGGGCGUAAAGGGCUCGUAGGUGGUUGAUCGCGUCGGAAGUGUAAUCUUGGGGCUUAACCCUGAGCGUGCUUUCGAUACGGGUUGACUUGAGGAAGGUAGGGGAGAAUGGAAUUCCUGGUGGAGCGGUGGAAUGCGCAGAUAUCAGGAGGAACACCAGUGGCGAAGGCGGUUCUCUGGGCCUUUCCUGACGCUGAGGAGCGAAAGCGUGGGGAGCGAACAGGCUUAGAUACCCUGGUAGUCCACGCUGUAAACGGUGGGUACUAGGUGUGGGGUCCAUUCCACGGGUUCCGUGCCGUAGCUAACGCUUUAAGUACCCCGCCUGGGGAGUACGGCCGCAAGGCUAAAACUCAAAGGAAUUGACGGGGCCCCGCACAAGCGGCGGAGCAUGCGGAUUAAUUCGAUGCAACGCGUAGAACCUUACCUGGGUUUGACAUGGAUCGGGAGUGCUCAGAGAUGGGUGUGCCUCUUUUGGGGUCGGUUCACAGGUGGUGCAUGGCUGUCGUCAGCUCGUGUCGUGAGAUGUUGGGUUAAGUCCCGCAACGAGCGCAACCCUUGUUCACUGUUGCCAGCACGUUAUGGUGGGGACUCAGUGGAGACCGCCGGGGUCAACUCGGAGGAAGGUGGGGAUGACGUCAAGUCAUCAUGCCCCUUAUGUCCAGGGCUUCACGCAUGCUACAAUGGCUGGUACAGAGAGUGGCGAGCCUGUGAGGGUGAGCGAAUCUCGGAAAGCCGGUCUCAGUUCGGAUUGGGGUCUGCAACUCGACCUCAUGAAGUCGGAGUCGCUAGUAAUCGCAGAUCAGCAACGCCGCGGUGAAUACGUUCCCGGGGCUUGUACACACCGCCCGUCAAGUCAUGAAAGUUGGUAACACCCGAAGCCGGUGGCCUAACCGUUGUGGUGGAGCCGUCGAAGGUGGGACUGGUGAUUAGGACUAAGUCAU